GAGGCCCUGCAAUGGGACAGAUUGACGGCCGCCGUUCCGUCAGGGCUGUCACAGUCUCCUGACAUGGUCUCUUGGAGUCUCUCUCCUUCGGGAGAAUUCUCCGUUAGUUCGGCAUAUCAUGCGCUUUGUCGCGCUCUGGCCAUACAGUGGUUAUCACCACUGUGGAAGCCCUCUGUGCCGCUUAAAAUAAAAAUAUUCGUCUGUCAGCUGCUCCGAAACCGCUUGCCCACGGGGACCGAGGUCCUUAAGCGCAACGGUCCGGGCGAUGGCUUGUGCCCCCUCUGUAGUGUUCCAGAGACGGGUACUCACACGCUGUUCUCCUGCUCCGCGGCGCGGGCUCUAUGGAGCUUUAUUCGGGAGGCACUCGGGCCUGAAUGGGAGGCCGGAGACCUGGCUGAAUUCCUGCAGUUCAGGGCGACCCAGAUGGGUCGCAAGCGCCGCCUCUUUUGGUGUAUCUUUGCGGCAUUGACGUGGACCCUUUGGACUACUCGCGACAAAAUGGUGAUCGAGCGGAUCUUCCCGCGACGGGCUUAUGACUCGUUCUACAAAUUUCUUGCAUUUUUACAGCACUGGCACCCGCUUGCUAGACAAUGGGAUCGUGACCGGCUUGGAGAGAUGUUGGAUGCGCUAGUGGCAACGGCGCGACGUCUUUCUUCUCCUUAG
rnacentral:rRNA from 1 species